AGACCUCAGGUCAGGUGGGAUCACCCGCUAAGUUUAAGCAUAUCAAUAAGUGGAGGAAAAGAACUUUACCAGGAUUCCCCUAGUAACAACAAGCGAACCAGGAAGAGCCCAGCUUGAGAAUUGGGUGUCCCUGGCAUUCGAAUUGUAGUAUGGAGAAGCAUCCUCAGUGAUGGAUCAGGCCCAAGUCCCCUGGAAAAGGGCACCGAAGAGGGUGAGAGCCCCGUUGUGCCCAGACCCUGUCGGACCACGAGGCGCUGUCCGUGAGUCGGGUUGUUUUGGAAUGCAGCCCCAAUCGGGCGAUAAAUUUCAUCCAAGGCUGAAUAUGGGCGGGAGGCCGAUAACGAACAAGUACUGCGAGGGAAAGAUGAAAAGGACUUUGAAAAGAGAGUCAAAGAGUGCUUGAAAUUGUCGAGAGGGAAGCGGAUGGGGGCCGACGAUGCGCCCCGAUUGAAUGUGGAACGGUGAGAGCCGAUUCACCGAUCGACUCGGGGUGUGGACUGAUGCGGGUCGCGAUGGUGGCCUAAGCCCGGGCUUUCGAUGUGACGCAGAGACGUCAUCGUCACAAUCGUGGAACGCAACACGCACCGUCUCGACGUGCCUUGACAGCAACAUGCUCUAGGCGUCGGCCUGCGGGCUCCCCAUUUGGUCCGUCUUGAAACAUGGACCAAGGAGUCUGACAUGCGUGUGAGUCAACAGGCUAAGAAACUCAUAAGGCACAAGGAAGCUGAUUGGAGGGAUCCCUCGUGGGUGCACCACCAAUCGACCUUGAUCUUUUGAGAAGGGUUCGAGUGCGAGCAUGCCCAUCAGGACCCGAAGGAUGGUGAACUAUGCCUGAGCGAGGUGAAGCCAGAGAAAACUCUGGUGGAGGCCUGCAAUGAUACUGACGUGCAAAUCAUUCAUCUGACUUGGGUAUAGGGGUGAAAGACUAAUCGAACCAUCUAGUAGCUGGUUCCCUCUGAAGUUUCCCUCAGGAUAGCUGGAGCCCCUAUCAAGUUCUAUCGGGUAAAGCCAAUGAUUAGAGGCGUCGGGGGUGCAACACCUACGACCUAUUCUCAAACUUUAAAUAGGUAGGACGACACGGCUGCUUCGUUGAGCCAUGCCACGGAAUCGAGGGCUCCAAGUGGACCAUUUUUGGUAAGCAAAACUGGUGAUGCGAGAUGAAUCGGAAGCCCGGUUACGGUGCCCAACUGCGUGCUAACCCAGAACCCACAAAAAGUGUUGGUCGAUUAAGACAGCAAGACGAUGGUCAUGGAAGUCGAAAUCCGCUAAGGAGUGUGUAACAACUCAUCUGUCGAAUCAACUAGCCCCAAAAAUGGAUGGUGCUUAAGCGCGUGACCUAUACUCGACUAUCGGGGUAAGGAUCAGGCCCCGAUGAGUAAGAGGGCACGACGAUCAUCGUAAAACCUGAGGCACAAGCCCGAGCGGAGCGAUCGUCGGUGUAGAUCUUGGUGGUAGCAACAAAUGUUUAAACAAAAACUUUGAAGGCUGAAGAGGGGAAAGGUUCCAUGUGAACGGCACUUACACAUGGGUUAGUCGAUCUUAAGAGAUGGGGGAAGCCCAUUCGACAGCGCAUCCCGUGCGAGCUUCAAAAAGGAAUCGGGUUAAAAUUUUUAAAUCGGGACAUGGCGGCUGACGGUAAUGUUAGGGAGUUCAAAGAUGUCAAUGGGGGCCUCGAGAAGAGUUAUCUUUUCUAUUUAACGAUCCGCCCACCCUGAAAACGGCUCAGUCGAAGGUAGGGUCCAGCAAUCAAAAGAGCACCGUACGUCAUGUGGUAUCCGAUGUGCCCCUGAUGGCCCUUGAAAAUCUAGAGGAUCGAGUGCCGUCCGUACCCAGUCAUACUCAUAACCGCAUCAGGUCUCCAAAGUGAAUAGCCUCUAGUCGAUAAAAUAAUGUAGGCAAGGGAAGUCGACAAAAUGGAUCCGUAACCUCAGAAAAAGGAUUGGCUCUGAGGGCUAGGCAUGGGGGUCCCAGUCUCGAACCCGUCAGCUGUCGGUGCUCUGCUCGAGUUGCUCUCGUGAUGAGAACGAUCGCAGCGUGUCGGUCGGGGGACGGACUGGAAACGGCUCCCUCGAAGCCUUCCCCGGACGACGAGCAGUUUACCCAGAAUUGGUACGAACAAGGGGAAUCUGACUGUUUAAUUAAAACAAAGCAUUGCGAUGGUCCCGGUGGAUGCUCACGUAAUGCGAUUUCUGCCCAGUGCUCUGAAUGUCAAAGUAAAGAAAUUUAACCAAGCGCAGGUAAACGACGGGAGUAACUAUGACUCUCUUAGGUUAGAUAAAUGCCUCGUCAUCUAAUUAGUGACGUGCAUGAAUGGAUUAACGAGAUUCCCACUGUCCUUAUCUACUAUCUAGCAAAACCACAGCCAAGGGAACGAGCUUGGUGGAAUCAACGAGGAAAAAAGACCCUGUUGAGCUUGACUCUAGUCCGACUUUGUGAAAUGACUUGAGAGGUGUAGGAUAAGUGGGAGCUCUCGGGCGAAAUUGAAAUACCACUACUUUUAACGUUAUUUUACUUAUUUCGUGAAUCGAAGGUGGGGCACGACCCCUUUUUUUGGACCCAAGGCCGACUUCAACCGAUCGAUCCAGGUGAAAGACAUUGUCAGGUGGGGAGUUUGGCUGGGGUAACACAUCUGUUAAAAGAUAAUGCAAGUGUCCUAAGAUGAGCUCAACGAGAACAAAAAUCUCAUGUGGAACAAAAAGGUAAAAGCUCGUUUGAUUUUGAUUUCUAGUACAAAUACGAAUCGCGAAAGUGUGGCCUAUUGAUCCUUUAGACCUUCGAGAUUUGAAGCUAGAGGUGUCAGAAAAGUUACCAUAGAGAUAACUGGCUUGUGGUAGCCAAGCGUUCAUAGCGACAUUGCUUUUUGAUCUUUCGAUGUCGGCUCUUCCUAUCAUUGUGAAGUAGAAUUCACCAAGUGUUGGAUUGUUCACCCACCAAUAGGGAACAUGAGCUGGGUUUAGACCGUCAUGAGACAGGUUAGUUUUACCCUACUGAUGGCGGCGUCACGAUAGUAAUUCAACCUAGUACGAGAGGAACCGUUGAUUUACACAAUUGGUCAUCACGCUUGGUUGAAAAGCUAGUGGCGCGAAGCUAUCAUGCGCUGGAUUAUGACUGAAUGCCUCUAAGUCAGAAUCUGAGCUAGAAGUGACGCGCAUGCCCGCCUCUCGAUUGUCAACCCACAGUAGGGGACCAUGGCCUCUAAGGGCACAUGUCGUAGGUGCAGCCCCUGCGACAGACGAGCUACACGAGCCUCUUUAGAGCUCAAUUCC
rnacentral:rRNA from 1 species